rnacentral:sRNA from 1 species
UUGGCGGUCGGGUUGAUCUCGCGCGUCACGACGAGGUAGUUGCGCAGCGCGAUCGCGUGCAGAUGCUC